rnacentral:rRNA from 1 species
GAUGAACGCUGGCGGCGUGCCUAAUACAUGCAAGUCGAACGCACAGCGAAAGGUGCUUGCACCUUUCAAGUGAGUGGCGAACGGGUGAGUAACACGUGGAUAACCUACCUCAAGGUUGGGGAUAACAUUUGGAAACAGAUGCUAAUACCGAAUAAAACUUCGUAUCGCAUGAUACAAGGUUAAAGGCGCUACGGCGUCACCUAGAGAUGGAUCCGCGGUGCA